rnacentral:rRNA from 1 species
AGAGUUUGAUCAUGGCUCAGAUUGAACGCUGGCGGCAGGCCUAACACAUGCAAGUCGAACGGUAACAGGAAGCAGCUUGCUGCUUUGCUGACGAGUGGCGGACGGGUGAGUAAUGCUCAUGUGCGAAACUGCCUGAUGGAGGGGGAUAACUACUGGAAACGUUAGCUAAUACCUUGCAUAACGUCGCACGACUGUAACCGAUGUGGACCUUCGGAGCGUCUGUGCCAUCUGAUGUGCCCAGAUGGGCUUCAGCUAGCUAACGCGUGGGGUAACGGCUCGACCGCUAGGGGACGUAUCGGCCUAGCAUGGUCUGAGAGGAUGACUCAGCCACACUGGAACUGUGACGGGGUCCCGACUCCUACGCGGUGGCAGCAGUGUGGUUUAAUUGCGAUGCAAUGGGCGCAAGAACCUGAUGCAGCCAUGCCGUCUUGAUAUCGACAGAAGGCCUUCGGGUAGUAGAUGUCCUUGGUGCCUUCGGGGACUGUGAGACAGGUGCUGCAUGGCUGUCGUCAGCUCGUGUUGUGAAAUGUUGAGGUUAAGUCCCGCAGACGAGCGCAACCGGCUUACUCCUUUGUUGCCAGCGGUUAGGCCGCGGUAACUACAGAGGAGACUGCCAGUGUUAAUCUGGAGGAUUAGGUGGGGAUAGAGCGUCACGUCAUCAUGGCUCUGUCACGAUCAGGAUGCUGACAUCCCCGUGCUACAACCUGGGNACUGCAUCCGAAACUGAGCAGNCUGAGUCUCGCUAGAGCCAGCGGAGGUCAUGAAUUGCAGUCGUAGUCCGNGAAUUGCGUANAGAUCUGNGCAUACCGUGGCGAAGCGUCCCUGGAGUCGAGAACUGCGCUCAGUGCGAAUCGUGGGGAUCAGAAUGUCACGGUUAGAUACCGUUCCCGGGCCUUGUACACACCGCCCGUCACACCAUGGGAGUGGGUUGCAAAAGAAGUAGGUAGCUUAACCUUCGGGAGGGCGCUUACCACUUUGUGAUUCAUGACUGGGGUGAAGUCGUAACAAGGUAGC